rnacentral:tRNA from 1 species
AACCUGUUAGUUAAAUUAACGUGUGUUUUGAAAGCACAAAAUACGGCGUAAAGACCGUACAGGUUU